rnacentral:rRNA from 1 species
UACGUAGGGGGCAAGCGUUAUCCGGAUUUACUGGGUGUAAAGGGAGCGUAGACGGCUUUGCAAGCCAGAUGUGAAAGCCCGGGGCUCAACCCCGGGACUGCAUUUGGAACUGUGUGGCUAGAGUGUCGGAGAGGCAGGCGGAAUUCCUAGUGUAGCGGUGAAAUGCGUAGAUAUUAGGAGGAACACCAGUGGCGAAGGCGGCCUGCUGGACGAUGACUGACGUUGAGGCUCGAAAGCGUGGGGAGCAAAUAGG